CUCCUGGGGCUAUUGUCUCUCCAUCAUCUAUUGAAGCUACUGCAGAACAUUGAUUAGUGUCUGGAUCUAUUGGAUCAAGGAGUCAAAUUAUUAUGAAUCUGUCAUUAUAGGAGAUUGUAUGGGUCCUGCUAAAAUGGAUGGUCGGGUGAUGUCUCCCUGGGUUUACUGGAAUGACUGGCGGCAUGAGGUGGUGGAGUUAUUAUGUACUCUUAUCCUCACCAUUUUUUCUUUCCUCUUUGAGUAGGGCAAAGGUCCUUCCUCUAGCACCAAUCUUUUGCUGCAAGUCUUUGAGUCAAAGUGAAUGUCGGUCUCUUACCAACCUAAAAUUCAGCAUCUAUCUGAAGAUUGGAUCUCUACUGGAGAUUCUCUGAUCGGAGACCCUUCAAUGCUUAAAUCAAUUAAAACUUGAGAACAAUAGAGAAAAGAGGAUAAAGAGAAAGAGGGCCUAAUCUCUUAGAGAAAAAGCUUAUUUAAGAGAAUCAAUGCCCAUGAUCGUGAGAAUCACAGGUAAUGGGUUAUAGGUGUUAAUUACAUGAUAUUAGCUUAUAUGCCUGUAAUUAAAGAAAAUUAUCUAAGAUUUUGGGACACUUCUUUGGGGCUAUCUCUAUUUCUAUAAUAGCUUGAUGGCCUAGGGCUUCAUCUCUUGUUAUUGACAUGAUUCAUCUUAAGGUCGGCACGUGUAUGAGCUAG
rnacentral:lncRNA from 1 species